CUAUUAAUUUGUAUUGUAGUCCUGUAAUAUUAUGUUGUCAUUUCAAUGUUAUAUUUAACUUUGCCAUUAAAGUGCGAGGUUUGGCAUGCCACAAAACCAGGUUCAACCCACCACUUUUAUUCCCCUUUAAAAGUGUCCUGUACCAAGUCAGGAAGAUGGCCAUUGUUAUAUUAUUGUUCGUUUUUGUGUGUGUUACAUUUUAACGUUGAGUCGUUUGUGUUUUCUAUUAUUUUUGAUAAAUUGAGAUAAGACGUGGCACGGUACUUGUCUAUCCCAAAUUCAUGUAUUUGGUUUUCAUGUUAUAUUUGUUAUUCUCGUGGUGUUUUGUCUGAUGCUUGGUUCGUUUCUGUGUGUGUUACGUUUCGGUGUUAUGUCGUUGUUCUCCUCUUAUAUUUAAUGCGUUUCCCUCGGUUUUAGUUUGUUACCCCGAUUUUGUUUUUUGUCCAUGGACUUAUGAGUUUUGAACAGCGGUAUACUACUGUUGCCUUUAUUU
rnacentral:lncRNA from 1 species